rnacentral:piRNA from 1 species
UAAGAGAACCACAUGACCCAA